rnacentral:rRNA from 1 species
GUCUAUUUCUAGAGAUAGAAAGUUACUUCGGUACGAUCGGUGACAGGUGGUUGCAUGGUUGUCGUCAGCUCGUGUCGUGAGAUGUUGGGUUUAAGUCCCGCAACGAGCGCAACCCCUAUUGUUAGUUGCCAUCAUUCAGUUUGGGCACUCUAGCGGGACUGCCGGUAAUAAACCGGAGGAAGUGGGAUGACGUCAAAUCAUCAUGCCCCUUAUGACCUGGGCUACACACGUGCUACAAUGGUUGGUACAACGAGUUGCGAGUCGGUGACGGCGAGCUAAUCUCUUAAAGCCAAUCUCAGUUCGGAUUGUGGGCUGCAACUCGCCUACAUGAAGUCGGAAUCGCUAGUAAUCGCGGAUCAGCACGCCGCGGUGAAUACGUUCCCGGGCCUU